UAAUACGAAGGGGGCUAGCGUUGUUCGGAAUGACUGGGCGUAAAGCGCGCGUAGGCGGCGAGUUUAGUCAGGGGUGAAAUCCCGGGGCUCAACCCCGGAACUGCCUUUGAUACUGGCUUGCUGGAGCACGGGAGAGGGUGGCGGAAUACCCAGUGUAGAGGUGAAAUUCGUAGAUAUUGGGUAGAACACCGGUGGCGAAGGCGGCCACCUGGACCGUAGCUGACGCUGAGGUGCGAAAGCGUGGGGAGCAAACAGG
rnacentral:rRNA from 1 species